GUAGGGAAUAUUGGGCAAUGGAUGCAAGUCUGACCCAGCCAUCCCGCGUGCCGGAAGAAGGCCCUCAGGGUUGUAAACGGCUUUUGACGGUGAAGAAUCGACAGGAUGCGUCCUGUUUUGACGGUAGCCGUUGAAUAAGCACCGGCUAACUCCGUGCCAGCAGCCGCGGUAAUACGGAGGGUGCGAGCGUUGUCCGGAUUUAUUGGGUUUAAAGGGUGCGUAGGCGGGAAGGUCAGUCAGCGGUGAAAAGCUGUCGCUUAACGAUAGUCUUGCCGCAGAUACUUCCUUUCUUGGAUGAGGAGGAGGCCACUGGAACGGAUGGUGUAGCGGUGAAAUGCAUAGAUAUCAUCCAGAACACCGAUUGCGAAGGCAGGUGGCUGUACCUUAAUCGACGCUGAUGCACGAAAGCAUGGGGAGCAAACAGGAUUAGAAACCCUGGUAGUCC
rnacentral:rRNA from 1 species